UUACGCAUCUGCAAGAAUGGACGUGGGAUUCAGAGGCUCCAGUUCCACGACCCGGCUGUUUCCCGCCCGGCCAGUGUGGACACAACCCAGUGGACGAAGAGCAGCCAAAGGCACAGUGGAAUAUUAGUCAGCCACCAACAGGGAUGAAGAGUCCCACAGCGUGGGUGGACCUCCCAAACAUGACCCAGAGAGAAAGGAGUCAGUCACAGAGAAGCAUGCCGCAUGACUCAUCUACACGAGAUGCCCAGAACAGGGGAAUCCAUAGAGACGGAAAACAGAUCGGUGGUUGCUG
rnacentral:lncRNA from 1 species